UACGUAGGGGGCAAGCGUUAUCCGGAUUUACUGGGUGUAAAGGGAGCGUAGACGGCCUUGCAAGUCUGGUGUGAAAGCCCGGGGCUCAACCCCGGGACUGCAUUGGAAACUGCAUGGCUGGAGUGCAGGAGAGGUAAGCGGAAUUCCUAGUGUAGCGGUGAAAUGCGUAGAUAUUAGGAGGAACACCAGUGGCGAAGGCGGCUUACUGGACUGUAACUGACGUUGAGGCUCGAAAGCGUGGGGAGCAAACAGG
rnacentral:rRNA from 1 species